UCCCAGAGGGUCUGAAGCUUUCACUCAUGCUCCUGAACGGGUAAGCUCCCCCUCUAGUGUUCACUGCUCAUCAGAUUAUUCCUCCAACAAAUAAGACAGAGAACUGCCUGUUUUUUUGGUUCCCUAUCGAAGGACGGAGCUUGGAACAACAUUUAUAACGGUUUAAUGACACAAAGAGUAAAAGGUGCUGCAGCCCAUCCAUCUGCUGAAUGUUGCCAAGUAACAGCCAUCCAUGGAACAUGGAAAAAUGAAUUCACCCGGCCAGGCCCAAAUUGUCGACCCACAGAACAUGAGCAGAUGCAGAAGCUCUAACCAAGGAUUCCUAGAGAGAAAGAGUAGAGCCAUGAGACGAAGGGAGCCUGGGUCCCUAAAUCACCAUGUCGGAGCUCUUCAGCGAAAAGCUGACGCUGAGCUGCUACGUGAGCAAGAGACACCUUGCCCAAUCUGAAACGAAGCCAAGCAAAGCAACAUCACCUUCUGGAAAGUGCAGAAACUGCAAUCAAGAUCAACAAAGAAAAGCACCCUUCCCAUAGAUUCAUCUCUUUGGCGUUUAAGUGUUUGGGCGAGUCUACAAAACUCAGAUUCCUCAUUUAACUAGAUGUUCCAGGUCACAGAGAUAUUCUACUAAGGCAAUUUUCAAAAGACCAUAAAACCACCACAUCAAUUUAUGCUUGCAGGUAGUAUAAUUGCCUUUGUAUCAUAUAUUUUUAGAAAAAGUGGCUUAAAACAAUUUGAAUAGUGCUUUAGAAAUAAGACCCUUAAAUAAUUGACGCUGGUAUUGCCUUUCUUAACUCUGGGAUUUCAAAACAUUUUCCAAACAUUAAUUGCAAUGGGACCCUGGUGAGGCUGAUAUUAUCAUACCUAUUUUCCAAGACGAUAAGCAGGGAGCGCAGGGCCCGUUUCUUGUCUUGCCCCAUGCCCUUCAGAGCUUGUCCAAGCUCAGAGCUCCCUUAAAAACCAUUGGAUCAGCUCCAUGGGAGCACAGAGGAAAAUGAGAAAUGGGCUCUUGGAGAUUUAAGGGAUUCUGUAAGGUUGUGUGUGAGUGAGCUGUAGCUAAAAGUCAAAGCUGGAAAUCUAAGAUUCCUUAUUCAGUGCUUGGAUAUAUUUCCUCAUUAAGAUAAUUCAUGUAGAAUAUCAGGCUUGCAGGAAUAUGCUGGUAAGAAGUGGACUCUGUUGCUGUUUGUUUUUGAGUAACUUAUUUAAUAACAAAAAUGCCUCCCUUUGAUUUGAAUAAAAAUAAAUGGCUGGAUUUUCACAGGCAGCAUGCAUAGAAGACCAGCAAGGGCCAACAGUGAAUUUCGACACUGACUUUUAAAAAUUGUGAAAGAGAUGCUAACAGCCUAAUUUGCAGUGGAGACUAGAUUCUGUGGCUGUAUCAGGUGGUGGUAUAAAGAAGAGCCAUAUACAGAAGGUGAAAUGAGGGGUUAAAAGUCACGCUAAACAUGCUGCAAGGACCUGUGGGCAUCCCAACCUUUUUUUCUUUAAUUGGGAGGAGAAGAGCUUUUUACUAAAGAGUAAGUUCCACAAUGUAGGCCGGUGGCCCAACUGGGAAAUACUCUUGAUUUGAACAGUUUGCAGCAGUUCUUUUCUGAACUCUUUAUAUAGAUCCUCUUUCAAUAUGGGGACACAUAUUUUAAGGUAAAAGGGGUAUUUUACUAAUUUUUUUUAAUGAAGCUUUCACUGCAAGCAAUAUUUGGAGUUAGUAAUCACCGGCUGGUUUCUUUCCCUCCUGCACUGCAGGAAUGAGGCCACUUUCACAGCUGGUUGUCAGCACAUCUCUUAUUACUAACACCAAUUAUUGAUUUUUAAAAGGCCUACGCUAUUAGUACCCUGCUACAUCUCUUCACGUACAAUAUGUGUUUUAAAAAUUCCUUUUGUAAAAAUAUAAAAUCUGAGUCCAACCUUUCUAUCAUCACUGUGCUUGUUCUUUACAUUUUAUCUUAUACCUUCACAGGAAAGCAAACCCGGAAUCUUUUUUUUUUUUUAACUUUUGGGCUAAUUUAGAAGCAGAAAUACUUUGCCCAUAUGAUCUCUCUGGCAGGUAUCACAUUAUAAAAAAGCAAAUGGUGCGUAGUGAGGGAGGAUGAAAGAACAUAAUUAGAGGGUUUAGGAUCUUCUAUCCCCUUUUCUCUGCCUUUAUUUCGUGCCAUCCCAAUCUAUGUUUAAGCCAAUCAUAAAAACCCACCUGGCGUCAUCCCCACUAGGGUGGCUGCUUUUGCAUAGGACUGCACCCCAAAUUGGACUUUUCUCUUCUCUUUGAAAGUUCUCAAUGAAGGUGAAUUUUAGGAUUUCUUUCAAAAGAUACUAUUCACACGUCAGUCAUUCUAGUUGUUGAUAUAUUGUCCAAAUGAUAGGCGGCUCUGAGAAUAUUUAUCUUUAGCAAUAUUUAUGGGUGUAUUAGUUUUGUAGAGCUGGUGUAACAAAGCUCUAUGAAAACGCUACAAAGCUCACCAAAAACUGGAUGGCUUAAACAGCAGAAAUUAACGUUCUCAUAGUUCUAGAGGCUAGACAUGCACCAUCAAAGUGUCAGCAAGGUUGGUUUCUGCUGAGGGAUGUGAGGGAUAAUCUGUUUAUGCCCAUUUCCUAAUUUCUGGUAGUUUUCUGGAAAUUUUGGCAUUUUUUGGAUUAUAGAUGCAUUUUCUGGUAUCUUCCUUCAUGCUCACAUAGGAUUCUCCCUGUGUGUGUGUCUAUGUCUGUGUCUAAAUUUCCCCUUUUUAUAAAGACUCAGUCGUAUUGAUUAGGGACCACCCAAAUGAUUUCAUCUGCUAGGAUACCAUAUCCAAUUAAGGUCACAUUUACUGAGAGAAAGCACUUCAACAACUUUUUGGGCAACAUAAUUUAAACCAUAACAAUGGUUUGUUAAAUGACGUAUAUAUGAUACUAUAUAUAUAUAAAUCAUUAUUAUCAUUGAUUAUGUAUAUAAUCAAAUACUAUUUUAUUAUUUACAAAAUACAUGGUGAUCAUAAGAGAAUAUUUUACAAAUUACAAAUGGGAAAAGUACAUGGCAUUACUAAAACGUCAGUGCCAAUGCCUCAGCAGAGAAAAAUUAGUGCAUUAAUUAGUUACCCUCUGAUGGAUAGUUUUUAGAUAAUAGAGACAGGUAUUGGUAAGCGAAAUGGAAUUUUAAUUUCAUGAGGAUGCUAGAAAAUUGCAAGUUGGAAGAUCAAUUUUAUUUACUCCAUCAUUAACAUGUGCUAAGUGAAUAUCUAAAGCAAGCUUGUCCAACCUGCGGCCUGUGGGCUGCAUGCGGCCCAGCAUGGCUUUGAAUGUGACCCAACACAAAUUUGUAAACUUUCUUAAAAGAUUAUGAGGGUUUAUUUGCGAUUAUUUUUCUUUUUGCUCAUCGGCUGUUGUUAGUGUAUUUUAUGUGUGACCCAAGACAAUUCUUCUUCCAAUGUGACCCAGGGAAGCCAAAAGAUUGGACACCCCUGACCUAAAGUGUAAUCCAUACUCUGAUAGAUGGUUUUCAGUAACACAAAUUCAACAUAAAACUGAACAUACAUUUUCAUGAGCAACUACUAGGUUCCAGGUACAUGACUGCUAUAGAGCAUUAGAGUUCUAAUACUAAGUAAAGCAGAGUGAUUUUUAAAAUCUAAAUACAGUUUAGCCAGGAAGAGUGAAGUAUAAACCAAUCAUUGAAAUUUAGAGGGCACUGUAAAGAAAACCCAUAUACAUGGAAGAAAGAAAAGGCAGGGUCAACUUCUUAGUUGUGAGGAAGGAUCUUGAAGAAAAGAUUACUCUGUUUUUGCAUUGCCAUAAAGAAAUACUUGAGGCUGGGCAAUUUAUAAGAAAAAAGGGUUAAUUGGCUCACAGUUCUUCAGGCUGUACAGGAAGCAUAGUGGCAUCUGCUUCUGGGGAGACCACAGGAAGCUUCUAGUCAUGGCAGAAGGCAAAGGGGGAACAGGCACAUGCUGAAAGCAGGAGCAAGCGAGAGCCAGCAGCGAAGUGCUGCACACUUUUACACAACCAGAUCUCCCGUAACUCACUCACUAUCAUGAGAACAGCAGCAAGGGGAUGGUGCUAAACCAUUCAUGAGACUCCAACCCAUGACCCAGUCACCUCUCACCAGGCCCAACCUCCAACAUUGAGGAUUACAGUUAGACAAUUCAAUAUGAGAUUGGGGCAGGGACACACAUCCAAACUAUAUCAGAUAAUGAUAAUAUGACUUAAAAAAAAAAGAUCUGUAUAGUCUCACCUAACAGUAGCCUGCCUGGGGCAGGAAGACAAAUGGAGUUCAUGUCUCUAAAUAUUUACAAUUAUAAAUUAAGGUAACAAAAUUGCUACCCAGAACAUAUUCAAAUGUCCUACCCUGUCAACUAUAGCUUUUGAGCAACAAAAUAUGAAAAUAAGUCAUGAAUCAAUGUUUAUAUGACUGGAGAAAGAAAAAUAUUAAACAUGAUGGAAUUUGAUUAUUUCCCAUAUUUAGAUCUUCUGUUUAUGAGUAAGGACAUUUAAACUAGUAAUAAAGGAAACAUACAUAGUUUAUAAAUAUAUGUAAACAUUUUAUAAAAUUUAUUUUUCCUACCUUCAUUUCAAUACAAUUCAAUAAUUUUACUCGUAUUUUCAGAUUUACACAGAUUAUGAAAAAAUUUUAACCUGAGAUUUUUAGUUUUUUAGUUCUAAAGUAUAUUUUUAAUUAAAUUUAGCUGUUUUCAUAACAUUUAAUCCACAUUACCAUCAUAUGUGCCAAAAAGUAAGGCCAAAUUUGAUAUGUGAUUUGCUUUUCAAGAAAUAAAUUUAAUCAUCUGGAUAACUGAACAAGAGAAUGCUAAAUAUACACUUAAGAAGAUAGAUAAUAUUGCAGUUCUUUAUUUUUCUGCUUAUUACCUGACUUCAAAAUGAUGAUUUCCAUAAAAUUUCUUGGUAAUUCUAAAAGAUAGUAGAAACAAAUCAAAAUGAGAAACAAAUGAAUAAAUAAAAUGCAAUAUUUUAUUUGACUUCUGAAAAUAUAUGCAGUCUUAAAGCUAUAAACCUUAUAACACCAGACCUCCAAAACAUCUGGAUAUGAGGUAUUAAAUAACAUAUGGAUAUCUGAUUUUUUUUUCAGAUUUCUCCUAGUUUUCGUAUAGUGCACAUGCAAAUUGCAAAGAAUCAACAAAGUCUUCCUGAUCUCUAUAUAUUUUUUCUUAAUAGUUUUCAAGGAAAAUGCAGCCAGGCUUGGUGGUCUGGUCAUUUGAAAUCUCUAAAGGAGCUUAAAUAUAAGUAAACAUCAAUGCGAAAUCAUAAAAACAAAACUGAUUGUUAUUUCCAACUGCAGUGAUUCAAUGUUGAUGCCCACCCAAGGCAAUCCCUUGGUUCCGUCUUCUGACACUGUAUUAGAAUGUCAACUUGUGGAUUCACCUUAGCUGUUAAUAAGAAAUUUUGUCUUUAUCAUGAAGAUUGGAUCUUGGGUCCUUGUGUCAACAUUAAAAUAGUAAUAAAGUGAUGAAAUACAAAAUACCUAGGAAUAUUAUAGGAUCUGAAUCUUCUAACUGGGUACAUAGAUACUUGAGCACAUUAAAUGAAUUAGUGUUAAUCACAAGUGUAUCAUGUAACUCAAGUAGAUUGUGUGGCCCUGAAAUUCCUGAGGGUUGCCUGUUGUUUCACAUGCUGCCAGAACUUGAAUGCCGCCACCACCCUCCCCUCACCCCACUCCCUGGGGGACUAAGCAGAGAUUAUUAGACUCUAACUUCCAGAAAAAGGGCUAAGUCUUAAACAUAUCUAAGAUUAUUACUAUAGAAAUGUUAUUGCUUAAUUUUAAUGAGUAUGUUGACCAUUUAAGUUGACAGUCCUUGUCACAAUUUAUCAAAGACAAAUUAGCAUAGUUAGAGUCACCAAAAGGAAACUAUUAAAACCUAAGUGUUUUCACUUCUUCUGAUCUGGCACUUUUCCUAUAGAACUAUAUAUCACUUUAGUGCUUCUUAAUUAAAAGUGAUGUCUUCCUCCAACUUAGAUCUGUACUGCAAACAUUCCCUGUCCCAUGUUGCUUUUGAUUUACAAAGUACAAUAUAAAACUGGAUUAUAUUAUCUUCAAAUAAAAUCAACACCAGUGAUGUUGCUUUGAGUGGUUUAUAACAGUGAUUUCACUAGAUGCAGUGAAAAUGCACAAUACCUGGGAAUUAGAAAUUUGCUCUUUUCAAAUAUUGAAACACUUCCCUUUCUUCUAAAUUAACAUUAUAUUUUAUUAACCUAUAAAAUCUCAUACUAUAUGUGUACUUGACUUCUAAUAUGCUAAAUUUAGGGUAUCUCCUCUUACUAGGUAUUUAUUAUCGAUUAAAUAUCUAGAGCAGUUAUUUAAAAAUGCCUAUUCCUUUUGUAAAUUUAGAGGCUAUAGAUAGAUCAAAUUGUAAUUAUGUAACAUUUAAUUUUUAGAUGAAAAUUGUAUUGAGAUAAUUUUAUAUUCACAUGCAGUUGAAAGAAAUAAUAAAGAGAUACUGUGUAUACUUUACCUAGUUUCUGCUAAAGGUAAACUAUAGUAUAACAUUAGCCUAGGAUAUUGACUUUGAUAUCAAUUUUAUCCAGCUUUUUCAGUUUUAUUUUUACUCAUUUGUGUGCAUGUAUAUUUAGUUCUAUAUGCUUUUAUCCAUAUAUUGUUAUUAAUAUUUAAUUUUAACAUGUAAAUAUUUUCUUAAAUUUUAAGUAUCUAUUAACUGUUGUUUAUGAAUUAUAUGACAUAUAAUCGAUCCUUAAAAAUAUAAAAUAACUACUAAAAUAGGUUUCUUUUAGUAUUCUAAUCGAUAAAAACAUUAAUUUUAGACUUGGCUAAAUAUUACUAUCAAGUAGUUUGUAAAGGUUGACUAAUAGUUCCCCAAAUGAAUAGUUUAAAAACACCAUUGACAUUCUUUUUUCCUUUUGAAUUCACACCACAGUUUUUAACUAGAGGUUCAAAAGAGGUUAAGAAAUAUGAAUCCAUUUUCAGUAUUUGGGGCAUCAGCUCAUUAAGAGUAAUAGAGCAGGCUUCCAGUUUGAAAAAGGCACUGACUCAAAUGUGUAAUGAUUUCACUUUCAAAUUUCUUUUAUCUCAGCUGCUUCUACUUCAACAAAUACAAGUGCUUCAGAUAUAAUAAGAAGACUAAUGAGGAUUGCAGAUGAUUACAACAAUAUUAUAAUACUUCCCAAGGCAUAAUGACAUUUUUUUCCCAAAUUAAGGAAAAAAGGUUUUUUCUUGUUAGAGUCUUUAUUGCCUGAAUAUGACCUCAGUUAAAACCAGGAACCCAACUUUAGAACAAAUCUAUGAAUAAGUAUUUUUUUAGUAAGACUUCUUAGCUUAUAAUGGAAGUUUUAUUAACUUUAGCAAGGACUAUGUAUGUGCUACAGGAUUACAUCCUUAAAAUAAAAUGUGCCAAAACGGGUCAUUUGACAUCACUGCCUCAUUGCUGUUCAGAGUUGGCAUUUUGCUGAUCACCUCACCAUGUACUCUUGGGUACUUUCUCUAUAAAGUGGUUACAAGUCCAGCCUUCUGAUGUUAUAGUUGGAUGCACUAUAUAAAAGGGCCAUUUUCUACUAAGUACCUUACUUGCUUCAGAGCCAGAGUACAGCUCUUUCAUCAGUCACAGUUUUGAAACAGCAGGGGUACAAUGUAUCAGUUUGUUCAAAGUAGACAUUGUGCUGUUUACAGAGAAAUUGUGACAAAUCAGGAAAGAAUUUAUAACCAACGCUAUACAACAUAACUUAAACAACAAAAAAUAAAGUGCAUAAUCUGACUCACAAAAUGAGACAUCUGCAAACCACUACAGCAAAUUGUGUAAUGAACAGCCUCUCCAGGGUCUUCAUGUAAUUCAAAGCUGUUUUUGGCUCCCUUUCAUUCUGAGUUUGAAGACAGAUUAUUUUACAAGGUACAUCAGCCUUUAGGGAACAGCAAUUUCCUCCUUCCCUCAGCCUUGCCUCCCCACAACACAAAUGUAACUUUUUAAACUGUUUAUCUUUGAUCAAAAAUAUAUUACUUAGCGUACUAAGUAAACAGCCGAACAUUUUGUCAUAGAAAUUAUUGCUUCCUGUGGCUAUUUUUAGUGGCUUUUUUUCCCCACAUUUUCUGGGCAAUUGGUAAUAAGGCUGAUAACCCUGCCAUUUGUUGCUGUAAUGAUCUCAGAAAAACAUUUUGAAAUACGAUCUGCUCUUUAGUGUAAUGGAUAAACUACUAUGCUGCCAGGAAUUAUACCCAACUUCCUCACUCAAUAGUCAUGGGAACUUAAGCAACAACCACAACCCACACACAUAAUGCAGGAAACGAUACGGAACACAUAUAUUACAUUUCUGUGGUGAUGUGGUUACCAAGAAUGGGCACUAGCGUUGCUGAAGCACCAGAAAUAUUAAAUCAAGAUGAUGCAAAAUAUGGAAAUGCUGAUAUACUAUACUCAAUUGUAAAUUAUCUUGCUUUUUGAAACAGUUUGCUAGCCACCUAUUAAAUGAUGAAUUUUCUCUAAAAUAAUACAUUUAAAUAUAAAAAAGAAAGCAUUUUAAAUAGAAUGCCAUUCAAUUUUGCUUUUUGCUGUUAUACAAAAUCAUUUUCAGUCCUAUAUAUAUUCACAAUACUUCUAAUAUUCUUGAAUACAGCUUCAUUAUCUUUUUCUUAAUUUGAAUUUGAAAAUAUUAUAAAACAAUCAGCAUGCUUCUAUUAUUUAUAAAUUCUUUUUAAUAUUCAUAUUAGAGAAGUUAUAUAUUUGUACAUAUUGCCUGUUUUUUUCUGUUUCCAACAUUUACUGUGGAUGAUUUAUUAUUUGUAUAUAUAUAUUUUUUAACUAUAAUUUUGGAACUACACUGCAUCUUUACGUCUAGAAUAGACCUUAAAAGUUAGGGGUUAUCAGCUCUACUUGUUUCUUCUGUGUCUGACAUAUAGCCAGAGCACAUAAAACAAGUCUUUACCUGUUUUCUAAUACUUACUGAUUGCACUGUGGGUAGUUUGAAUUUAGAGACAAAUAUUUACUUGAUUUUUAUCAAAAAUAUAUCUAUCAUACUACUUCUUAUGUUUAAAUGAUUGCUUUUAUUUUGUUUCUUAAUAUAGAAGUACCAGUAAUUCUAUGAAUGGUGAAAGAAAAAUAACAGUUUUGUUGUUUCUCUUCUAAUAUCUGUCUUAAUCACUAAUCUGAUAAUUUAAAAAUAUAUAUGUAUAUAUUUAUAUAUACAUAUAUAUAUAGAGAGAGAGAAACAGAGAGAGAGAGAGAAAUUUCAUGCUCCAUACUAUGUUUCCCAAAUCCUAUACCUCUUAAAAAGAUUAUGGAACCUGGAACCUGGAGAGAAAAAAAAAUGAAACCAAACAAUAUCUCAGAAAUGUAGAGACUCGGGAUCUGUGAAGUCGCUUCUGAUGUGGAGAUGCUUUUUGAAGUUUUAAAAUGACAGCGUUGAAACAUCUCUCUGCCUUCCCUUUGCGCUCUCUUAUAUCUGCUUAAGUGUCUUUGUCAGAAGUAUUCUUCUGGUAACUAUGGCUCAAUCCAAGAAUUCUCUAGAGAAUUCUUAAAAGUAUUUGUUAACAAAUAAGAAAGUUUAUUACUGAGGGCAGACCUCAUUUUAAAAAUAUGUUAUUCUAUUACUAAAUGUGCAAAAUUGGAUAUAUAUAUAUACACACAUAUAUGCACACAACUGCUUAGCAAUCAUGUUACGUGUUCCUCAAAAUUGCAUUUAUCUUUAUGGUGUAAGACUAUCUACAAUAAUUCUCAAGGUCUGUUUUCUGAUGAAGAGAAGGUGGAGAUGUAAAAUGAUACUAUUUUUUCUUCCUAAAAUUGUCAUAGAAACAUGUUAAGUCCUUAGCUUUCUGGUCCCCACUGAGGCCCAGAACACAUGAGUAGAUGAUGUAGCAAAAUCAAAGAUCACUUGAUUUUUAAAAGAUAAGUUUCACAUCUUAUAUUUUACAACCCAAAAGGAAACUAAGUUCGGAACAAUAAUAAAGCUAAUAUUUAUGUGUUUAAAUUAAUAAUCUUGUUUGAUUUGAGCAUAUGUUGUAUUUUAGGAAGCAAUAGUUGAACUACAGAAUUUCAAUAUUAUAAAGAAUUAUAGAAAUUAUAAUGUAUGACAAAAGAAAAAAUUCUAUAUUGCCUCUAUUAGAUUCAAAUUAGUAUGAUAAGAAAAAUAUACAACCAAAGGUAUAAUUUUGUCAUCACUUCAAAUUGUCAAGCACAAUUUAAGAAAUGUAAAGAUUACGUCUGUACAAAGAAAAUCUGGCAAUGCUUUUCCAAUUUUCCUAACUACUAGGAUGUAGGCAGAACAUACUGAUGAAAAACAAUUACCUAAUAAAAUUCUGAUAUAAGAUAUAAGAAAAUAAUCCUGCUUAGCAGAAGUGCAAUUUAAUCAUUCAAUUUUAUUACAUUCUUUUUAUUUUCAAAUUAAAGUAGAAUGCUUAAAAACAGAGAAGUAGCUUUGAAAUAUUGUGAAUGAUUAAAAAAAUGAAUAGUUUAAGUGAGAUAAAUUCCAAAGGAAAAUCAGUGUAAAUUCAUGCAAACAGUACUUGAGAGACAUUGUUCUGAAGGAUAGCUUUUUGUACAGAUCCAUUUUAAAAAUCUCAAUUAUUCAAGGAAUGCAUUGAUUUUAACAUCAAUUUUUCUUCACAGGCUUUGUUAUGAAAAUAGGUAUAUAUAAUGAAGUGGGCUGCAAGGAAAUUACAUUUUGCAAAUACUCUCCACUUAUAUCAAAGAUAAGGGCCAUUCAAGAGUCUCAUAUAUUAGACUAGCUUUGUCCCAAUGGAAACAUAAAGGAAAUUGUGACAAAAUAUACAUUUUUCUUGGUCAGUUAAGACUGUACUCUAGUAACUAGCAUUUUUUCCCAGAAUAAAACUUUUUGCGCCCCUUUAACUCUUCCACAAUGCACUUCCUAUUUUUCUGUGUCAGUAGCUGCACAUCAAGGUGCACACGAAGGCAAGUGGGAUUUCCACGUGCUCUUGUCUGGCUCUAUUCAAUCAAUCGCUAUGAGAUUCAGUUUUAUUUUGAGGAAUACCUGGAAGAACAUACGUAAAAGACCCUAAUAGUACCUGAUCCAAAACUGGUUUUUAAAAGAUAACUAUUUUGUUUUACUUCUUGACAUGUAUUCAGAGAUCUUGGUAUGGUUUGAUUCAGUCUGUUAUCUUUGUGUAUUCCUCCCUGUCAAAUUCCUUAAUCACACAAAACCUAUGUUCUUGGAAUGAACAGUUCGGUGUCUUUAUAGGAUUUUUGUCUUUCUUAAAUCUGGCUCUCUCAUGAUGAAUACUAAUAUCUACCAUAGAGUACAUACCUCUGUAUGCCAAGUGCUUUGUAUAUGUGGAUGUCAUGAUCCCUCUCUUCUAUUAUAAUGAAAUGAAGGCUCAGAAUGUUUAUUCCAAAAGCCUCAAACCACCCUGCUAUAAAGUUUCAGAGUCAAAAUUCAAACCUAAUCUGUCAGAUAUCAAAGCAGGUUCUCCUCUGAAUAUGACACACUGACCCCUUUGACAUAUUUGUCCCGUUAUCUCAAAUUGUGUGACAUGUAAAAAGUUGAACAAUUCUAAAAAAAAUUAAAAUGCCCUCAUAUUGAUGCCCACUGCUUUCUUGUAUAGGCUGCUUAGAAGUGUUUCUUGAAAUUCAAAUGUAUUUUCUUUUGCGUUGAUGAUCUUCCAUUUUGUAGAAACUAUUAAGGGUUAACUGAGUCAUUCUAAAAUAAUAAGUUCCCCCAUACCACAACACAAAACGAAACAAAAAUGAACAACUCAGCUUCUUUAAAUAUUAACUUUGUUCUAUAAUGUUAAAUAUUAUUUUUAAUAUAGGGGAUUUUGUAAGGGUGUUAAAAUGUAAGUAAAGAGAUAACAUUCUUAUUUUUUGCAUUGUAUAUAACUUUCAAAGCGACUGGGUGAAUAAAAUAAUUUUAGAAGUGAAAUUUGUAUUAAUCAUAGAACUUCUAGGAAUGGCUGGCAAUGGGGAAAAAAAUGAUUUUCAGUCUAAUUUCCCUAGGAUACAACUUAACUUCCUUCAGGGAUAGCUAAGCCAAGUGAUCAUGGAUACAAACUGGCUGUGGUUGGGCAGGCAGCCACUUAACGUAUCCCUUAGCUGAUAAUAAAGUGUAUGGUCUGCAGCUGUUUUUAAAAAAGACAGAAAGAAUAAAGAGGGAAUGGAAGAAAGGAGUAACAAAAGCACCACUAGAAGAUACUAUGAGGGUGAUAAAAACAGGGAUACAAUCUAAUUUGCCUCAACAUUGGAUGUCAAAACAUUUAAAUAAAACAAUUAUACUUGUAUAAUACAUCUUUAUUAUAAAUAAAUUCUUUAAAAGUUGUCCAAAAUAGAGCAGAUACUAUUAAGAAAACUUUAAUUAUCUGCUGUAGUAUAUGCUGCUCAAUAAUAUAAAUCUGUCUAUUUUCUUCACUGAUGUGUGUAAAGUAUCUGUAUCAGGCCUGGAUCUUAGUAGGUAUUCAAUAAAUAUUUUAUGCUUGUCUUAAUUAUUUCAUAAUAUUCUAAUAUUGUAUUCUGAUGUGAAUAAAGAAAUUCAGGAGAAACUUAAGUUUUACUUUUGAAUAUUUAAGCAUUUUAUGUGGAAUUCUAAUUUCAUUUGAAUAAAUGUUUAAUAUUAUGGAUAUUAAAGCUACUCUACCAUAUGGGAUCUUGUGCCAUUUUAGAGUGAGGACCCUGUAGUCAGACUGCCCACAUUAGCAUCCUGGCAUUACCUUAUAGUAACUUUGUGACCAAGAGAAAAUGGCAGUUUACUUGGGACUUGGUUUCUUGUCUACACAAGAUAGGUGUUAUUCAGGUAUCUAUCUCAUAAAGUUGAAAAACUACAUAUUCAAGAGGCGUUUAGGUUCUGGAAUUGCAUUCUAUUUGAUAUAUAAAAUAGAUACUCAUUCACUGAUGUAUAAAUGUGGUACCCAUAUAUAGACAGUCCUACAAAAAACUUACUGAAUUAAAGGAUCUGAAGGAUUUUUAAAGGGUUGGCCAUCUUAAGAACAUUCUCAAUAUCUUUGUUUUGGGGAUUGAAAUGUACAUAUUGGUACCUCUUUCAGGAUAUUCAGCUGAUAAAAGUACACAUUAAGCCAUUGCCAGUUCAAACAAUACUUCACAUGCAUUUGAAAGAAUACCUAGACAAGAAGCAGAAUUCGAAGAGAAUAAUAAAAGCUAAGGUUUAUUGAGCACUUUCUAAUGCUCUAAGCUGUCAAAUGUCAGGUUAAGUUUUAAUGUGAUUUCAAUGGGUCAUAAAAAGGACAUUGCUGGGGAAGAGAAAAGUCUCCAGAGAAGUAGGUCCAAGUAUAAAACCACAGACAAGUUUUUUUUUUUUUU
rnacentral:lncRNA from 1 species